AGUUUAAACCUAAAGUGCUGUGUGUGCAAGAAACCCACCUAACUUCGAAGCACACUAACUUCCUCCGACAAUACGUCACUUACCGGAAAGACCGCGAGGAUGCUGUCGCAUCAUCUGGCGGUGUAGCCAUCAUUGCUGAUAGAAGCAAGUGUAGCGUGUCAGCAUUUGAGGCUCCAAACGGCCCUUGAGGCCGUGGCCGUUCGAGCCGUACUUUUAAAUAAACUCAUUACCAUCUGCUCUUUGUACAUACCACCACAUUAUCAGCUUCACAGACGCGACUUAGAAUCAUUAAUAGAUGAGCUCCCGGAGCCCUAUAUGAUUCUCGGUGAUUUUAAUGCACACA
rnacentral:lncRNA from 1 species